UAACCCACAAGCCCUCCAGACCCCGUUGUCCAGAGGCAUUAUAUGGAAGUUCCAUCAUGUAAGCACGACUGAUUAAUCAUCAGACCCCUUUCCUCUCCUGAGGUUCUGCCACUCAGGAAAUUCUGAGGAUUUCAGCAGCUCCAUGCUAGGAACCUAAGGUCCGUGACAGAAUGGAAAUAGGAAAGACUCGACCUUCACAACAUACAGGCGGAGAACCAAGGAUGUGCUCCCACUGAUCAAGAGUGCAGCAGAAAUGACAAGGGACUGGAAUGCAAAUCAUGGAAAUCUAGAAGCAUUCUGCAAACGAGAUAUUUCACAAGUAUAUCAAAGAUGUAGCACUUUAGAGCAACCCAAACUGAAAUCUUGCAGACCGUGCACCCAGGUGUAGAUUAGGCUUUGGCCCUGUAUCAGAAAUUACUUGUCACCUAUAUCAGAAAUCAGCAAGUACAUGUUUUGAAUUUAAAAUAAAAUGUUUUGGAUAUGAAUAUAAAACUUUUUUUUAACAUUUCCCCACCUUAAAUAACCAACUAGAUAGUGGUUGAGGAUCCCAGAUAAGAUAACU